UACGUAGGGGGCAAGCGUUGUUCGGAUUCAUUGGGCGUAAAGGGUGCGUAGGCGGCGCGGUAAGUCGGGUGUGAAUCUCGGAGCUUAACUCCGAAACUGCAUUCGAUACUGCCGUGCUUGAGGACUGGAGAGGAGACUGGAAUUUACGGUGUAGCGGUGAAAUGCGUAGAUAUCGUAAGGAAGACCAGUGGCGAAGGCGGGUCUCUGGACAGUUCCUGACGCUGAGGCACGAAGGUCAGGGGAGCAAACGGG
rnacentral:rRNA from 1 species